rnacentral:rRNA from 1 species
AGCGAACGCUGGCGGCAGGCCUAACACAUGCAGGUCGAACGAACCUUUCGGGGUUAGUGGCGGACGGGUGAGUAACACGUGGGAACGUGCCUUUAGGUUCGGAAUAACUCAGGGAAACUUGUGCUAAUACCGAAUGUGCCCUUCGGGGGAAUGAUUAAUCGCCUUUAGAGCGGCCCGCGUCUGAUUAGCUAGUUGGUUGAGGUAAUGGCUCACCAAGGCGACGAUCAGUAGCUGGUCUGAGAGGAUGAUCAGCCACAUUGGGACUGAGACACGGCCCAAACUCCUACGGGAGGCAGCAGUGGGGAAUCUUGCGCAAUGGGCGAAAGCCUGACGCAGCCAUGCCGCGUGAAUGAUGAAGGUCUUAGGAUUGUAAAAUUCUUUCACCGGGGACGAUAAUGACGGUACCCGGAGAAGAAGCCCCGGCUAACUUCGUG